UUCCUACGGGGGGCAGCAGUGAGGAAUAUUGGUCAAUGGGAGAGAUCCUGAACCAGCCAAGCCGCGUGAGGGAAGACGGCCCUAUGGGUUGUAAACCUCUUUUGUCGGAGAACAAAACCCGGGACGAGUCCCGGACUGCGUGUAUCCGAAGAAAAAGCAUCGGAUAACUCCGUGCCCGCAGCGGCGGUAAUACGGAGGAUGCGAGCGUUAUCCGGAUUUAUUGGGUUUAAAGGGUGCGUAGGCGGUCCGUUAAGUCAGCGGUAAGAUCGAGAGGCU
rnacentral:rRNA from 1 species